AUCUGUUCAGUUUCAUUCAGACUGCCCUUCGCCAGUCUCAUCUGCGCUUGGAAGAUAAGCAGAGCCUGGGCUGGUUAGUAUUUGAAUGGGGGACCACCAGGAGGUCCCAGGGAUGCAGAUU
rnacentral:rRNA from 1 species